UUAGUGGCGGACGGGUGAGUAACGCGUGAGCAACCUGCCUUGGCAGUGGGGGAUAACGUUUGGAAACGGACGCUAAUACCGCAUAUCGCAUAAGAGUCGCAUGGCUCAUAUGACAAAAGAUUUAUUGUGCUAAGAUGGGCUCGCGUCCCAUUAGAUAGUUGGUGAGGUAACGGCCCACCAAGUCGACGAUGGGUAGCCGAACUGAGAGGUUGAACGGCCACAUUGGAACUGAGAUACGGCCCAGACUCCUACGGGAGGCAGCAGUGGGGAAUAUUGGGCAAUGGGGGAAACCCUGACCCAGCAACGCCGCGUGAAGGAAGAAGGCCUUCGGGUUGUAAACUUCUUUUACCAGGGACGAAGACGUGACGGUACCUGGAGAAAAAGCCACGGCUAACUACGUG
rnacentral:rRNA from 1 species